CAAUAGCGUACAUUAAAGUUGUUGCAGUUAAAAAGCUCGUAGUUGGAUUUCUGGUGUCGCAGUGCUUCCGCGUGUUUAAUUACAUGUCGAGUUGUGUUUGCGUCGCCAUCUUUUAGCAGCACCUUCCUGGCAUUAGGUUGUUGGGUUGGUAAUGCUAAUCGUUUACUGUGAAGAAAUUAGAGUGUUCAAAGCAGGCUUAUGCCGUUGAAUACGUUAGCAUGGAAUAAUGAGAUAGGACCUUGAUACUAUUUUGUUGGUUUGCGCAUCAAGGUAAUGAUUAAUAGGGUCAGUUGGGGGUAUUCGUAUUCCGUUGUCAGAGGUGAAAUUCUUGGAUUUACGGAAGACGAACGACUGCGAAAGCAUUUACCAAGGAUGUUUUCAUUAAUCAAGAACGAAAGUUAGGGGAUCGAAGACGAUCAGAUACCAU
rnacentral:rRNA from 1 species